UACAGAGGGUGCAAGCGUUGUUCGGAAUCAUUGGGCGUAAAGAGCGUGUAGGCGGCCAGACAGGUCCGUUGUGAAAACUCGAGCUCAACCUCGAGACGCCGAUGGAAACCCCCUGGCUAGAGUCCGGAAGAGGAGAGUGGAAUUCCUGGUGUAGCGGUGAAAUGCGCAGAUAUCAGGAAGAACACCCGUGGCUAAGGCGGCUCUCUAGUACGGUACUGACGCUGAGACGCGAAAGCCAGGGGAGCAAACGGG
rnacentral:rRNA from 1 species